rnacentral:rRNA from 1 species
CAGCAGCCGCGGUAAUACGAAGGGGGCUAGCGUUGUUCGGAAUUACUGGGCGUAAAGCGCACGUAGGCGGCUUGGUAAGUUAGAGGUGAAAGCCCGGAGCUCAACUCCGGAAUUGCCUUUAAGACUGCCGAGCUAGUAGGUGAGAGAGGUAAGUGGAAUUCCGAGUGUAGAGGUGAAAUUCGUAGAUAUUCGGAAGAACACCAGUGGCGAAGGCGGCUCACUGGACUGGUAUUGACGCUGAGGUGCGAAAGCGUGGGGAGCAAACAGGAUUAGAUACCCCAGUAGUCCCUGUCUCUUAUAC